rnacentral:rRNA from 1 species
GGGUAGUUUGACUGGGGCGGUCUCCUCCUAAAGAGUAACGGAGGAGCACGAAGGUUGGCUAAUCCUGGUCGGACAUCAGGAGGUUAGUGCAAUGGCAUAAGCCAGCUUGACUGCGAGCGUGACGGCGCGAGCAGGUGCGAAAGCAGGUCAUAGUGAUCCGGUGGUUCUGAAUGGAAGGGCCAUCGCUCAACGGAUAAAAGGUACUCCGGGGAUAACAGGCUGAUACCGCCCAAGAGUUCAUAUCGACGGCGGUGUUUGGCACCUCGAUGUCGGCUCAUCACAUCCUGGGGCUGAAGUAGGUCCCAAGGGUAUGGCUGUUCGCCAUUUAAAGUGGUACGCGAGCUGGGUUUAGAACGUCGUGAGACAGUUCGGUCCCUAUCUGCCGUGGGCGCUGGAGAACUGAGGGGGGCUGCUCCUAGUACGAGAGGACCGGAGUGGACGCAUCACUGGUGUUCGGGUUGUCAUGCCAAUGGCACUGCCCGGUAGCUAAAUGCGGAAGAGAUAAGUGCUGAAAGCAUCUAAGCACGAAACUUGCCCCGAGAUGAGUUCUCCCUGAGACUUUAAGUCUCCUGAAGGAACGUUGAAGACGACGACGUUGAUAGGCCGGGUGUGUAAGCGCAGCGAUGCGUUGAGCUAACCGGUACUAAUGAACCGUGAGGCUUAACCUUACA